GAUCCUGGCUCAGGAUGAACGCUGGCGGCGUGCUUAACACAUGCAAGUCGAGCGAAGCACUUAAGUUCGAUUCUUCGGAUGAAGACUUUUGUGACUGAGCGGGCGGACGGGUGAGUAACGCGUGGGUAACCGUGCCUCAUACAGGGGGAGUAACAGUUAGAAAUGGCUGCUAAUACCGCAUAAGACCACAGUACUGCAUGGUACGGUGGUAAAACUCCGGUGGUAUGAGAUGGACCCGCGU
rnacentral:rRNA from 1 species